rnacentral:tRNA from 1 species
GCCUUCGUGGUAUAAUGGUUAGCACACUCGGCGCGUAUUCGAAAAGUCAAGGUUCGAGUCCUGGCGAGGGCA